rnacentral:rRNA from 1 species
CCUACGGGUGGCAGCAGUGGGGAAUAUUGGACAAUGGGGGCAACCCUGAUCCAGCCAUGCCGCGUGUGUGAAGAAGGCCCUCGGGUUGUAAAGCACUUUCAGUGAGGAAGAACGCCUGGUGGUUAAUACCCAUCAGGAAAGACAUCACUCACAGAAGAAGCACCGGCUAACUCCGUGCCAGCAGCCGCGGGAAUACGGAGGGUGCGAGCGUUAAUCGGAAUUACUGGGCGUAAAGCGCGCGUAGGUGGCUUGAUAAGCCGGUUGUGAAAGCCCCGGGCUCAACCUGGGAACGGCAUCCGGAACUGUCAAGCUAGAGUGCAGGAGAGGAAGGUAGAAUUCCCGGUGUAGCGGUGAAAUGCGUAGAGAUCGGGAGGAAUACCAGUGGCGAAGGCGGCCUUCUGGACUGACACUGACACUGAGGUGCGAAAGCGUGGGUAGCAAACAGGAUUAGAUGCCCUUGUAGUC